rnacentral:tRNA from 1 species
GUCAGGAUGGCCGAGCGGUCUAAGGCGCUGCGUUCAGGUCGCAGUCUCCUCAGGGAGGCGUGGGUUCAAAUCCCACUUCUGACA